AAAACCGAGUCAAAUCAAACCGAAAAAACCGAACCGAAAAAAAUAGUGGUUAAAAUGGUUUGGUUUGAUUUUUAAUAUAUAGAAAUUGCGGUUUUCGGUUUCGGUUUGGUUUUGGCGUUCGGUCACCGAACCAAACCGAAAAAACCGAAAUAAUUAAUGAAAGCUAUUUUGGUAAUUUAAAUACAAUACUAUAUAUUCAGAAAUUAAAACCAAAACCCUAAUAUUCCCACUCUGCCGCCACCUUACCCCUGACCCUCACCAAAUUCUUUCAUUUCCCUUCCCCUUUUCUCAUUUUCUUUCUCCAUCUCCUUUUCAUAAACCCUAAACUAAAACAAAUACUCUAAUAUUUCAUCAAAACUACUGCUCCGGCAUGGAUUUUUAUUCGUUUUCAGUUUUAUUAUUUCUUUUUCUAUCUCUAUUCGAUACUUAUCAUUCGAUUAUUAACAUAGAUCCGCAAAGAUAUAAACCAUGGAAUCUGUAGUGAUGUUUUUGAAGAAAAAUUGAAGUUUGUAAGGAGCUGAAUUUUUUUUAAGAUUCCUGAAGAUAAAUGGAGAAAGUUAAUUUUAGUUCUUUCUUCAUUAAAUAGAAGAACAUGUAAAAUAAAUGUUUAAAAUUAAUUGAUGUAGCCAUUUAAAUGUA